rnacentral:rRNA from 1 species
UACGGAGGGGGCUAGCGUUGUUCGGAAUUACUGGGCGUAAAGCGCACGUAGGCGGCUUUGUGAGUUAGAGGUGAAAGCCCGGGGCUCAACUCCGGAAUUGCCUUUAAGACUGCAUCGCUAGAAUUGUGGAGAGGUAAGUGGAAUUCCGAGUGUAGAGGUGAAAUUCGUAGAUAUUCGGAAGAACACCAGUGGCGAAGGCGACUUACUGGACACAUAUUGACGCUGAGGUGCGAAGGCCAGGGGAGCAAACGGG